rnacentral:ncRNA from 1 species
CAGGUGUCGAGAGACUUAAUAAGGAAGUCCGGUGUGAAGCCGGUGCGGUCCCGCCACUGUAUCAGCGAGCGAAUCUGCCUUGCGUUUUUGAGCGCAAGCCAUGUCACUGGGGGAAACCUUGGGAAGGCGCGGAGGAGCGAUGACCUGGAGCCAGGAGAAUUGCCUGAUUG